UACGGGAGGAGCAGUGGGGAAUAUUGCACAAUGGGCGCAAGCCUGAUGCAGCCAUGCCGCGUGUAUGAAGAAGGCCUUCGGGUUGUAAAGUACUUUCAGUCGUGAGGAAGGUGUUAAGGUUAAUAACCUUAGCAAUUGACGUUAGCGACAGAAGAAGCACCGGCUAACUCCGUGCCAGCAGCCGCGGUAAUACGGAGGGUGCGAGCGUUAAUCGGAAUUACUGGGCGUAAAGGGCACGCAGGCGGUUAAUUAAGUUGGAUGUGAAAUCCCCGGGCUUAACCUGGGAAUGGCAUUCAAGACUGGUUAGCUAGAGUCUUGUAGAGGGGGUAGAAUUCCAUGUGUAGCGGUGAAAUGCGUAGAGAUGUGGAGGAAUACCGGUGCGAAGGCGGCCCCUGGACAAAGACUGACGCUCAUGUGCGAAAGCGUGGGGAGCAAACAGGGAUUAGAUACC
rnacentral:rRNA from 1 species